rnacentral:rRNA from 1 species
CGUUCCCGGGCCUUGUACACACCGCCCGUCACACCAUGGGAGUUGGUUUUACCCGAAGCCGGUGCGCUAACCCGCAAGGGAGGUAGCCGACCACGGUAAGGUCAGCGACUGGGUG